rnacentral:tRNA from 1 species
GGAGUGGUAGUUCAGUUGGUUAGAAUACCGGCCUGGUCACCGGUGCCGGGGCGGUCCGGUUCGACGUCCGUCCACUCCG